rnacentral:rRNA from 1 species
AUUGAACGCUGGCGGCAGGCCUAACACAUGCAAGUCGAGCGAGCGGCGGACGGGUGAGUAAUGUCUGGGAAACUGCCUGAUGGAGGGGGAUAACUACUGGAAACGGUAGCUAAUACCGCAUAACAUCAGAUGUGCCCAGAUGGGAUUAGAUAGUAGGUGGGGUAACGGAUCACCUAGGCGACGAUCCCUAGCUGGUCUGAGAGGAUGACCAGCCACACUGGAACUGAGACACGGUCCAAACUCCUACGGGAGGCAGCAGUGGGGAAUAUUGCACAAUGGGCGCAAGUCUGAGACAGCCAUGCCGCGUGUAUGAAGAAGGCCUUCGGGUUGUAAAGUACUUUCAGCGGGGAGGCGUUACCCGCAGAAGAAGCACCGGCUAACUCCGUGCCAGCAGCCGCGGUAAUUC